GACGAACGCUGGCGGCGUGCUUAACACAUGCAAGUCGAGCGGUAAGGCCCUUUCGGGGGUACACGAGCGGCGAACGGGUGAGUAACACGUGGGUGACCUGCCCUCAGCUCUGGGAUAAGCCUGGGAAACCGGGUCUAAUACUGGAUAUGACUCCAUGACGCAUGUUGUGGGGUGGAAAGCCUUGUGCGGCUGAGGAUGGGCCCGNGGCCUAUCAGCUUGUUGGUGGGGUGANGGCCUACCAAGGCGACGACGGGUAGCCGGCCUGAGAGGGCGACCGGCCACACUGGGACUGAGACACGGCCCAGACUCCUACGGGAGGCAGCAGUGGGGAAUCUUGCGCAAUGGGC
rnacentral:rRNA from 1 species